rnacentral:lncRNA from 1 species
UUUAUUUUGUUUACAAUUUUAAAACAGCAAUUUAUCAUUGUUAUAUUAAUGUACUUAUUUUAUAUUUUAUUUAUUAAUUUUAUAUGUAAUUUAUAAAAUUUAUAUUUACAACCGCAUUGAUGCCGUAAUUUCAAUCAGGCAUCAUAAAAUAUUCGUAUGAUUGAUUGAUUGAACAUUACAAUCAAUUUUGAGUUGUCGCAUUAAUUUGCACGUUGCUUGAAACAAAUGAAAACUUAAUUAUCUAGAUUAAUACAAUGCAUGUACAAAGUAAGGAUGACAAUUUGUCGGGUCGGGCUCGGGCUCCGCCAAGCCUGAGCCCUACCCGAUCAUAGAAAUAAAAGGCUUGG